AUACGAAGGGUGCAAGCGUUAAUCGGAAUUACUGGGCGUAAAGCGCGCGUAGGUGGUUCGUUAAGUUGGAUGUGAAAGCCCCGGGCUCAACCUGGGAACUGCAUCCAAAACUGGCGAGCUAGAGUAUGGCAGAGGGUGGUGGAAUUUCCUGUGUAGCGGUGAAAUGCGUAGAUAUAGGAAGGAACACCAGUGGCGAAGGCGACCCCCUGGGCUAAUGCUGACACUGAGGUGCGAAAGCGUGGGGAGAAAACAGGAUUAGAUACCCGGGUAGUCCACGCCGUAAACGAUGUCGACUAGCCGUUGGGAUCCUUGAGAACUUAGUGGCGCAGCUAACGCAUUAAGUCGACCGCCUGGGGAGUACGGCCGCAAGGUUAAAACUCAAAUGAAUUGACGGGG
rnacentral:rRNA from 1 species